AUUGAACGCUGGCGGCAUGCUUUACACAUGCAAGUCGAACGGUAACAGGGAGCUUGCUCCGCUGACGAGUGGCGAACGGGUGAGUAAUGCGUCGGAACGUGCCGAGUAGUGGGGGAUAACGCAGCGAAAGUUGUGCUAAUACCGCAUACGUACUGAGGUAGAAAGUGGGGGACCUUCGGGCCUCACGCUAUUCGAGCGGCCGACGUCUGAUUAGCUAGUAGGUGAGGUAAAGGCUCACCUAGGCGACGAUCAGUAGCGGGUCUGAGAGGAUGAUCCGCCACACUGGGACUGAGACACGGUCCAGACUCCUACGGGAGGCAGCAGUGGGGAAUAUUGGACAAUGGGCGAAAGCCUGAUCCAGCCAUGCCGCGUGUGUGAAGAAGGUCUUCGGAUUGUAAAGCACUUUAAGUUGGGAGGAAGGGCAGUAAGUUAAUACCUUGCUGUUUUGACGUUAUCGACAGAAUAAGCACCGGCUAACUCUGUGCCAGCCGCCGCCGUAACAC
rnacentral:rRNA from 1 species